UAAAUUAUAGAAGCGCCAGAACUACAAGUAGUGUAGUUGACGAGGUGGGGUUUAUCGAGAUUUCGGCGGAUGACUCCCGGUUGUUCAUCACAACCGCAAGCUUUUACUUAAAUCAUUAAGGUGACUUAGUGGACAAAGGUGAAAGUGUGAUGAGAG
rfam:Bacillus anthracis str. 'Ames Ancestor', complete genome.